ACGAGACGCUAAGGCGUUGAAGCAGUGUACGUCAGACUUCCAAGAAAAGCUCGCAAUGUCAUACAUAAAAAAUGCCUGUACCAUAACCGACACAGGUGGGUAGGUAGAGUAUACUAAGGGGCGCGAGAUAACUCUCUCUAAGGAACUCGGCAAAAUGACUCCGUAACUUCGGGAGAAGGAGUGCCUUAUUUAUAAGGUUGCAAUAACAAGAUCCAAGCAACUGUUUAUCAAAAACACAGGUCUCCGCUAAGUCGUAAGACGAUGUAUGGGGGCUGACGCCUGCCCAGUGCCAGAAGGUUAAAGAAGUUGGUUAGUGUAUGCGAAGCUGAUGACUGAAGCCCUGGUGAACGGCGGCCGUAACGAUAACGGUCCUAAGGUAGCGAAAUUCCUUGUCGGGUAAGUUCCGACCCGCACGAAAGGCGUAAUGAUUUGGAUACUGUCUCGGAGAGAGGCUCGGUGAAAAUGACUUGUCUGUGAAGAUGCGGACUACCUGCACCAGGACAGAAAGACCCUAUGAAGCUUUACUGUAACUUGAAAUUGGAAUUGGACUUUGCUUGCGCAGUAUAGGUGGGAAGCGUUGAAGAUAUUCUUGCGGGAGUAUUGGAGCUAUCAGUGAGAUACCACUCUUGUAAUGUUAGAUUUCUAACUUUGAACCAUAAUCUGGUCAAAGAACAGUUUCAGGUGGGCAGUUUGACUGGGGCGGUCGCCUCCCAAAUGGUAACGGAGGCGUACAAAGGUUUCCUCUGAACGGAUAGAAAUCGUAUCUAGAGUGUAAAGGCAUAAGGAAGCUUGACUGUGAGACCUACAAGUCGAGCAGGGACGAAAGUCGGUCUUAGUGAUCUGACGGUACUGAGUGGAAAGGCCGUCACUCAACGGAUAAAAGUUACUCUAGGAUAACAGGCUGAUCUCCCCCAAGAGUUCACAUCGACGGGGAGGUUUGGCACCUCGAUGUCGGCUCAUCGCAUCCUGGGGCGGUAGUACGUCCCAAGGGUUGGGCUGUUCGCCCAUGAAAGCGGUACGCGAGCUGGGUUCAGAACGUCGUGAGACAGUUCGGUCCAUAUCCGGUGUAGGCGUUAGAAUAUUGAGAGGAGCCUUCUUUAGUACGAGAGGACCGAGAAGGACACACCGCUGGUGUACCAGUUAUCGUGCCAACGGUAAACGCUGGGUAGCUAUGUGUGGAGUGGAUAACCGCUGAAAGCAUCUAAGUGGGAAGCCCACCUCAAGAUGAGUAUUCUCAC
rnacentral:rRNA from 1 species